GUGCUCCUUUGGCAGCACAGACACUAAAAUUGGAAGGAUACAGAGAUUAGCAUGGGCCCUGCACAAGGAUGACAUGCAAAUUUGAGAAGCGUUCCUUGUAUUU